UGAUAAUAACUUACCCCCACAUCCGCCCGGGUACUACAAGUACCAACUUGAAACCCAAAGGACUUGGCGGUGCUUUAGACCCCCCUAGAGGAGCCUGUUCUAGAACUGAUAAUCCCCGUUAAACCUCACCCUCCCUUGUCAUUCCCGCCUAUAUACCGCCGUCGUCAGCUUACCCUGUGAGGGUCUUAUCGUGAGCACAACUGGCACAGCCUUAAACGUCAGGUCGAGGUGUAGUAGAUGGGAGGGGAAGAAAUGGGCUACAUUCGUCUACUGACGAACAACGAAUGAUCUAUUGAAAACAUUUAUCUAAAGGAGGAUUUAGCAGUAAAAAGGAAAUAGAGUGUCC
rnacentral:rRNA from 1 species